UACGGAGGGUGCAAGCGUUACUCGGAAUCACUGGGCGUAAAGGGCGCGGAGGCGGCCUAGCAAGUCUGGUGUGAAAGCCCAGGGCUCAACCCUGGAAGGGCACUGGAAACUGUUAGGCUUGAGUUCCGGAGAGGAGGGGGGAAUUCCCGGUGUAGCGGUAAAAUGCGUAGAUAUCGGGAGGAAUACCGGUGGAGAAUGCGCCCCUCGGGAUGGAAAUUUACGCUGCUGCGCGAAAGCGUGGGGAGCAAACAGG
rnacentral:rRNA from 1 species